UGAGCUGUGAUGGGGAGAAGACAUUGUGUCUUCGAGUCGUUGAUUUCACACUGCCGAGAAAAGCCUCUAGAUAGAAAAUAGGUGCCCGUACCGCAAACCGACACAGGUAGUCAAGAUGAGAAUUCUAAGGUGAGCGAGCGAACUCUCGUUAAGGAACUCGGCAAAAUGACCCCGUAACUUCGGGAGAAGGGGUGCUCUUUAGGGUUAACGCCCAGAAGAGCCGCAGUGAAUAGGCCCAAGCGACUGUUUAUCAAAAACACAGGUCUCUGCUAAACCGUAAGGUGAUGUAUAGGGGCUGACGCCUGCCCGGUGCUGGAAGGUUAAGAGGAGUGGUUAGCUUCUGCGAAGCUACGAAUCGAAGCCCCAGUAAACGGCGGCCGUAACUAUAACGGUCCUAAGGUAGCGAAAUUCCUUGUCGGGUAAGUUCCGACCCGCACGAAAGGCGUAACGAUUUGGGCACUGUCU
rnacentral:rRNA from 1 species